rnacentral:tRNA from 1 species
AAAGAGGCUUGAAGCAAUAAGGACUGCUAAUCCUUCCCCCCGCAGUUAAAAUCCG